rnacentral:rRNA from 1 species
UACGUAGGGUGCAAGCGUUAAUCGGAAUUACUGGGCGUAAAGCGUGCGCAGGCGGUUGUGCAAGACAGAUGUGAAAAUCCCCCGGGCUUACCUGGGAAUGGCAUUUGUGACUGCACGGCUAGAGUGUGUCAGAGGGGGGUAGAAUUCCACGUGUAGCAGUGAAAUGCGUAGAGAUGUGGAGGAAUACCGAUGGCGAAGGCAGCCCCCUGGGCCAAUACUGACGCUCAUGCACGAAAGCGUGGGGAGCAAACCAGG